rnacentral:lncRNA from 1 species
CGUCAGUACACCUUCUUCAAGCCCAAGUUUAUCAUCUACGCGACGUACCUCAGCGAAAAGAUCGGGUACUGGAGAUACAUCUCCAUCUACCGCCACCUCCAGGAGAACCCGAACGACCAGCUGUACCCGCUGUUCCAGUACUUCGAGAACUGGUGCCAGGAUGAGAACCGCCACGGCGAUUUCUUCACCGCGUGCCUCAAGGCGAGGCCGGAGUUCAUCAACGACUGGGAGGCGAAGCUCUGGGCGCGAUUCUUCUGCCUCUCCGUGUACGUCACCAUGUACCUCAACGAUCACAGCCGCACGGAGUUCUACGAGUCCAUCGGCCUCGACACGACGCAGUUUAACAUGCACGUGAUCCACCAGACGAACAAGACGACCGCGCAGAUCUUCCCGCAGGUGAUCGACACGUACAACCCGAAGUUCAAGGAGUACCUCGACAACCUCAGAGACAUCAACGUGAAGCUUUCCAAGGCGCAAUCGCCGAUGGAGAAGGCGCCGCUGAUCGCCGGGUUCGCCGCGAACCUUCUCGGCGUCGCGUUGAUGAAGCCGGUCGACUCCGGGAGCAUCGAUUUCGUCGAGGACGUCAACUCCCCGGCGUUCAUGUACUAAGCGACGACGAGA